rnacentral:rRNA from 1 species
UACGUAGGGGGCAAGCGUUGUCCGGAAUCAUUGGGCGUAAAGAGCGCGUAGGCGGCCCUGUAAGUCCGCUGUGAAAGUCAAGGGCUCAACCCUUGGAUGCCGGUGGAUACUGCAGGGCUAGAGUCCGGAAGAGGCGAGUGGAAUUCCUGGUGUAGCGGUGGAAUGCGCAGAUAUCAGGAGGAACACCAAUAGCGAAGGCAGCUCGCUGGGACGUUACUGACGCUGAGGUGCGAAAGCGUGGGGAGCAAACAGG